rnacentral:rRNA from 1 species
GACGAACGCUGGCGGCGUGCCUAAUACAUGCAAGUCGAGCGGACGGAUGGGAGCCUGCUCCCAGACCGUCAGCGGCGGACGGGUGAGUAACACGUGGGCAACCUGCCUGUAAGACUGGGAUAACUCCGGGAAACCGGGGCUAAUACCGGAUAACUCUUUCCCUCACAUGAGGGAAAGCUGAAAGAUGGCAUCUCGCUAUCACUUACAGAUGGGCCCGCGGCGCAUUAGCUAGUUGGUGAGGUAACGGCUCACCAAGGCGACGAUGCGUAGCCGACCUGAGAGGGUGAUCGGCCACACUGGGACUGAGACACGGCCCAGACUCCUACGGGAGGCAGCAGUAGGGAAUCUUCCGCAAUGGACGAAAGUCUGACGGAGCAACGCCGCGUGAGUGAUGAAGGUGUUCGGAUCGUAAAACUCUGUUGUCAGGGAAGAACAAGUACCGGAGUAACUGCCGGUACCUUGACGGUACCUGACCAGAAAGCCACGGCUAACUACGUG